UACGUAGGGUGCGAGCGUUGUCCGGAAUUAUUGGGCGUAAAGAGCUCGUAGGCGGCUUGUCACGUCGGUUGUGAAAGCCCGGGGCUCAACCCCGGGUCUGCAGUCGAUACGGGCAGGCUAGAGUUCGGUAGGGGAGAUCGGAAUUCCUGGUGUAGCGGUGAAAUGCGCAGAUAUCAGGAGGAACACCGGUGGCGAAGGCGGAUCUCUGGGCCGAUACUGACGCUGAGGAGCGAAAGCGUGGGGAGCGAACAGG
rnacentral:rRNA from 1 species